rnacentral:rRNA from 1 species
AGCAGCCGCGGUAAUUCCAGCUCCAAUAGCGUAUAUUAAAGUUGUUGCAGUUAAAAAGCUCGUAGUUGAAUUUCGGGGUCAGCAAGUUGGUCGUGCCACCGGUAUGCACUGGCUUUGCUGAUUCCUCCUUCUUGUAGAACCGUAAUGCCAUUAAUUUGGUGUUGCGGGGAAACAGGACUGUUACUUUGAAAAAAUUAGAGUGUUUAAAGCAGGCUAACGCUUGAAUACAUUAGCAUGGAAUAAUGAAAUAGGACGACGAUCCUAUUUUGUUGGUUUCUAGGAUUGACGUAAUGAUUAAUAGGGAUAGUUGGGGGCAUUAGUAUUCAAUUGUCAGAGGUGAAAUUCUUGGAUUUAUUGAAGACUAACUACUGCGAAAGCAUUUGCCAAGGAUGUUUUCAUUAAUCAAGAACGAAAGUUAGGGGAUCGAAGACGAUCAGAUACCGUCGUAGUCUUAACCAUAAACUAUGCCGACUAGGGAUCGGA